rnacentral:tRNA from 1 species
AGCCCUGUGGCACCAUGGGUAGGUGUUCGGCUGCUAACUGAAAGGUUGGUGGUUCAAACCCACCCAGCUG